UCUGAUCUGCCUUUGUUUCGCUUGCUGCUCAGCAAGCUGGUCUAAAAGCUCUGUACGGUCUUAAUGUCAAAAGGCUGAAAUUUGGGAAAGCACAAGGACUGUUUCAGAUUUCACUUUUCAGAUACUGACUUUUUAGAUGGUGUGCGCUCUAUUUCAGGAGGUAUAUUAUUACAUUAUGGAGAAGCCUAGUGAGCUAAUUUCUGUCUUUCGCUGUAUGAUUAACACAAGUAAACACAGCUUUCACAUCUCCAUACUUCAGAAAAACUAGUAAUUACACAACAGUUCACCUAUUGGGCUGAUGCCGUCAUAGACAUGCCUAAGCUUCAGUAUUUGGAUUUUAGCUCUAACUGAAUUAGAUUAAAACAAUGCUGCACCUCACUUUUGUUUGCCACCCCUCAAAUCAGAUAUUUGAAUUUGAGUAGUAACGCAGAAUUUGGCCUUGACUUGGGAGGAAUUGAGGGAUUUGAUUCACUUGAGAUUCUAGAUUUCCACCAAGCAACUGUUGUACGAGUUGGAUACCUUUCAGUUUUGUCUAACUUAAAGUGCUUGAGGUAUCUGGAUGUUUCUUAUUCAAGUAUCACCUUUACUAACAUAUUCAGCUUUUAUGGGUUGAAGAACCUUGAUGUUUUCAAGAUUGCCGGCAAUAAUUUUCAAAGUUAUGUAUGAAGAUAUUUAAUAAUCUCACUUUUCUAGAGCACCUUGACACUAUUGUAGUGUUACAUCCAAGCUCACUUCCUCUUCAAAUCUUCAGAAUCUCAGAGGUAACCAUUGAAUGACUAUAAAUUUUGUCUUAUCCGGACCAGAAACAAUUUCACUUUAUGUCGAUAAAAACAGCAUUACUAGCAUCCCACUUCAUGUUCUCCAAUCAUUGCCCACAAACCUUUUGGAGUUUGAUUUAUCCUCUAACCCCGUUGAUUGCUCCUGCUCUCAGACAGAUUUUAUUUUGUGGAUUAUCCAAAAUCAGAAAGUUUUGAAGAACCCGGACAAAAUUUUUUGUAAAACUUUUUCACCAAGCUCAGAUUUUAGAGCAAAAGACUUUGACAUUCACAGCUGUGUGCACAAGAAAAGACUCACAAUUUUUUGUAUCUGUAUGUGUUUGUUACAGUAGUAGUUCUUUUGUCAUUCUUGGUUUAUAGGUUCCAGUUUUAUCUUCAGUAUUGCUGUAUUCUACUGAGAGGCUAUAGAUCACCUGGACAGCAAGAAUGUUCCUAUGACGCAUUUGUGAUUUUCUCCAGCUAUGAUGAAGUCUGGGUCAUGAAUGAACUGAUGGAGAAUCUAGAGAACGGUGUUCCACCUAUUCAGCUUUGCCUUCAUAUGAGGGACUUUCAAGCAGGGAAGUCCAUUGCCUCCAACAUUAUCGAUGAAGGAAUAAUGGGCAGUCGUAAAAUCAUUGUGGUCGUGUCUCAACACUUCAUUGAUAGUGCCUGGUGUCGCUUUGAGUUUGAGUUAGCUCAGUGUCGCUUUAUAAUGGAACGCAAUGCCAACAUCAUCAUCAUCAUUCUGGAAGAUGUGGAAGAGAGAAAGACUAAGAAAGUGUUUGGACUUCAUAAGCAUCUGAAAAAGAACACGUACCUAAAGUGGAGCAGAGACCCUUUGAGUAACCAGAUUCUUGAUACACCUCAGGAAAGCUAUUAUUGCCACAAACCAAUAAUAUUAAUUUAGAAAACAUUUCAGUAUGGUUUUCCAGUCAUGUUACAUUUUCAUAGCAGCUUUUAGUAACAGUUUUAAUAUGAUCAUUGUGUGUAUUCUGAUUAAAUAAAGUGGGGCCUCAUUUUUGAAUCAUG